UACAGGAGGGGCAAGCGUUAUUCGGAAUUAUUGGCGUAAAGGGCGCGUAGGCGGCAUUGCAAGUGGAAGGUGAAAUCCCUCGGCUUAACCGAGGAACUGCCCUCCAAACUGCGUUGCUUGAGGCCGGGAGAGGGUGAGUGGAAGUUCCCGAAGUUCGUAGCGGUGAAAUGACGUAGAUAUUGGGAGGAACACCAGUGGCGAAGGCGGCGACCUGGUCCGAUACUGACGCUGAGGCGGCGAAAGCGUGGGGAGCAAACAGG
rnacentral:rRNA from 1 species